ACUAUGUUUUGAUCUUCAAUAAUGUAUAUUUAUACUAUAGAAUGAACAAUUCAAUCUUUUAAUUUAUAAAAAAAAAAUAGAAAAACUUGUAAUAUUUUGAAAAAUAUUUUUGUAGAAUCCAUUUUCAAAAAUACAAAGAAAAAAAAUCCAUUUUUUAAAAGGUAAAACAAAUUGGCCCUUAGCUUGUACCUGAACGAGAAAGAGGAAACUCGGUUCUUCAGCUUGUAACUGCGUGCUUUUGAAUGCUUAGAUGUUUGGGCAUAUGGCCCAAAUGAACUGUCCAUUGCCUUCAUCCC
rnacentral:lncRNA from 1 species